UACAUAGGUCUCAAGCGUUGUUCGGAUUCAUUGGGCGUAAAGGGUGCGUAGGUGGCGGGGUUAGUCAGGUGUGAAAUCUCGGGGCUCAACCCCGAAACUGCACUUGAUACUGCCUUGCUAGAGUACUGGAGAGGAGAUUGGAAUUUACGGUGUAGCAGUGAAAUGCGUAGAUAUCGUAAGGAAGACCAGUGGCGAAGGCGAAUCUCUGGACAGUUACUGACACUGAGGCACGAAGGCCAGGGGAGCAAACGGG
rnacentral:rRNA from 1 species